rnacentral:misc_RNA from 1 species
GAUGAAGAACGUAGCGAAAUGCGAUAAGUAAUGUGAAUUGCAGAAUUCAGUGAAUCAUCGAAUCUUUGAACGCACAUUGCGCCCGUCAGUAUUCUGGCGGGCAUGCCUGUUCGAGCGUCAUUACGCCCCUCAAGUCCCCUGUGGACUUGGUGUUGGGGAUCGGCGAGGCUGGUUUUCCAGCACAGCCGUCCCUUAAAUUAAUUGGCGGACUCGCCGUGGCCCUCCUCUGCGCAGUAGUAAAACACUCGCAACAGGAGCCCGGCGCGGUCCACUGCCGUAAAACCCCCCAACUUUUUAUAGUUGACCUCGAAUCAGGUAGGACUACCCGCUGAACUUAAGCAUAUCAAUAAGCGGAGGA